ensembl:lncRNA
CUCGUCCUUCAACAGUGGGUUACACUGUGUCUGGUCCUUCAACAGUGGGAUACACUGUGUCUCGUCCUUCAACAGUGGGUUACACUGUGUCUCGUCCUUCAACAGUAGGUUACACUGUGUCUCGUCCCUCAACAGUAGGUUACACUGUGUCUCGUCCAUCAACAGUAGGUUACACUGUGUCUCGUCUCUCAACAGUAGGUUACACUGUGUCUCGUCCCUCAACAGUGGGUUACACUGUGUCUCGUCCUUCAACAGUAGGUUACACUGUGUCUCGUCCUUCAACAGUAGGUUACACUGUGUAUCGUCCCUCAACAGUAGGUUACACUGUGUCUCGUCCAUCAACAGUAGGUUACACUGUGUCUCGUCCAUCAACAGUAGGUUACACUGUGUCUCGUCCCUCAACAGUAGGUUACACUGUGUCUCGUCCCUCAACAGUAGGUUACACUGUGCCUAGUCCUUCAACAGUAGGUUACACUGUGUCUCGUCCCUCAACAGUAGGUUACACUGUGCCUAGUCCUUCAACAGUAGGUUACACUGUGUCUCGUCCCUCAACAGUAGGUUACACUGUGUCUCGUCCCUCAACAGUAGGUUACAC